rnacentral:tRNA from 1 species
AUUCUUCUAAUAUAAACCAGUAUAGUUGACUUCCAAUCAACAUGUCCUAGUAAGCCCUGGGGAAGAAUA